rnacentral:rRNA from 1 species
GUCGUCAGCUCGUGUCGUGAGAUGUUGGGUUAAGUCCCGCAACGAGCGCAACCCUCGCCUUUAGUUGCCAGCAUUCAGUUGGGCACUCUAGAGGGACGUGCCGGUGUCAAACCGGAGGAAGGUGGGGAUGACGUCAAGUCAUCAUGGCCCUUACGACCAGGGCUACACACGUGCUACAAUGGCGCAUACAAAGAGAAGCGACCUCGCGAGAGCAAGCGGACCUCAUAAAGUGCGUCGUAGUCCGGAUUGGAGUCUGCAACUCGACUCCAUGAAGUCGGAAUCGCUAGUAAUCGUGGAUCAGAAUGCCACGGUGAAUACGUUCCCGGGCCUU